rnacentral:snRNA from 1 species
CUUAUCAUAUGAAACAAGCUAGGGUGCUCACUUUGGCAACACAGAGCAGAUUAACAUGGCCCCUGAGCAAGGAUGACACAAAUUUGUGAAGCAAAUUUUU